UGCUCGUGUAGAUCGAACUAG
ensembl:piRNA 21ur-844 ncRNA